UCGAGAUGAGUAUUCCCACCACCUUGAGUGGUUAAGGCUCCCAGUAGACGACUGGGUUGAUAGGCCAGAUGUGGAAGCCCGGUAACGGGUGGAGCUGACUGGUACUAAUAGGCCGAGGGCUUGUCCUCAGUUG
rnacentral:rRNA from 1 species